GAAGAAGUAACACUGCAGUUCUCCAGCUGGGGGUCGGGAUCCUCAGCUCAUUUCUAUUACCACCUCAUAUCAGGAGGUGGAGGGGACAGAGGUGGACAUGGAGGCUGCCAGGCUGGUGACCGCAGCUCAAUCUGCAUUUCAGCAUUUGGAAGUGUGAAACUGCUGGAUACUUGUGAGGAUAUUUUUUUCGUGUGGUUGGCCACACACAAAAAAAACCCUCUCCUCAGUCAGCGCUAGUGUCACAGUCGACACAAAAAAGGACCCAAACACCAGACACAAAGGCAGACAGGUAGAUAAAAUCCAAAAGUGCCAACGCUCAAAAGACAGGCAACAAAAACUGCCAGCAAAAAAAGGAAAAGGAAAGUACAAAAACUGAGGACAAACCAGAAAACCACAGGAGAUGAGUCAGGAAUACAGGGAACAACACAAGGCUCAGGGAACCAGCGCAGGAGGCAACCGACAAACCAACAAGGGGCGAGGGAACAACACGGGUUAAAGAUGCUGUGUGUAGGAAUUUAAGUUUAAAACAUUCAAGUGUGCAAAUAAAUAAGAGAUUU